rnacentral:rRNA from 1 species
UGGGGAAUAUUGCACAAUGGGCGCAAGCCUGAUGCAGCCAUGCCGCGUGUGUGAAGAAGGCCUUCGGGUUGUAAAGCACUUUCAGCGGGGAGGAAGGCGGUGAGGUUAAUAACCUCACCGAUUGACGUUACCCGCAGAAGAAGCACCGGUUAACUCCGUGCCAGCAGCCGCGGUAAUACGGAGGGUGCAAGCGUUAAUCGGAAUUACUGGGCGUAAAGCGCACGCAGGCGGUCUGUCAAGUCGGAUGUGAAAUCCCCGGGCUCAACCUGGGAACUGCAUUCGAAACUGGCAGGCUAGAGUCUUGUAGAGGGGGGUAGAAUUCCAGGUGUAGCGGUGAAAUGCGUAGAGAUCUGGAGGAAUACCGGUGGCGAAGGCGGCCCCCUGGACAAAGACUGACGCUCAGGUGCGAAAGCGUGGGGAGCAGACAGGAUUAGAUACCCUGGUAGUCCACGCUGUAAACGAUGUCGAUUUGGAGGUUGUGCCCUUGAGGCGUGGCUUCCGGAGCUAACGCGUUAAAUCGACCGCCUGGGGAGUACGGCCGCAAGGUUA